CAUAGCAAUUCACAUGAUCCGUGAAAUCCAUGUGAAUCAGAGUGAAGGCUAGGAGACCAGAGGGCAAGGGGUCCUACCUGGGCUGGAGUGUUUGGAUUUACAAAGGGAUGAUAGCCAGCAAGAAGAGGGUGAAGCCCAGGAUAUGUUGCUGCAAUUCCUGAAGUCCUUUUCCUGGAUUGUGAAGACUAAAGAUACUGGAUGCCAGCCGGGGACCCAGAGGGCUCUCAACAAACUAAAGACACCAUCUUCAUCAUUGCUGCUGUGAUCCACUUUGGAGACAAUGGGGUGGAAAGAACCCUUGUGAGGCUCUGGGACUCCUCAGGAAGAGCUAACAGAUUGUUCACACCCAAAAGGAAACAGAUAGUAACAUUUUUUAUUAAAUAUUACAGUGGAUCAAAAAGUACAAAAUAUCUCUUGCCUGCUAUGUGAUUGGGAAACUAUUGGCACGUAAUACAGUAUCAAAAGCAGUAAUAAGUACAAUUUGGAAAACAUACAAAAUUGAGUGUUUAUAGUUUGGCUCAGCAUUCUUCUGGUAGUGUUUAAACGAAUGCAAAGGUUACUCAAUAACCUCUCCAUUGGGAAACUAUGUAAUAUCACUGGGCCAUGUUGCUAUAUACAAAUAAUCACCUUACAGAGCAUAGAGGUUACAUAGCUGGAAUCACCAAAAGUAUACAAUAUUUACAACACAGGAAAGUUUAAAAAAGUAUAAACAGCCGAGAGAUUAUGCUGCUAUUUUUCAGACAUAUUUCAACCAUGGGGAGACAAGCAGAGUAUCAAAUACAUCAACAGCCAACACUGGGAUUUAAGUGCUCAAGAUAAUCAUUGCAAUGGUGUGGGUCUCACCAGGGCAAACUUGUUCCCAUUUCUCUUUAAAACUGGGACAAGAGUGACACUGGACCAGAUGGGACUUGGCUGACCACCACCAAAUGUGACUGUGGGACAACGAGUGAAGAGAAAGAAAUGGUUCUCCUUGAAGGCACACUACAUAAAAUAUUUUUGUGGGAUCACCUUGAAAUUUCCAUCAGACACACCAACACACUGCAAUACAGUACUUGAGAAUUCAUGCACCAGGUCGGAAAGUUGUAAAGUCAACACUGAGUUUUAACAAACCCUUCUGUAUAUGCCCUGAUAAACAAGUGAACUGAAGAGCUUCUAGCUAGUAAAUAAAUAAGUCAGUCCUGUGGCAAAUACUACAAGUUCCAAUCACUUACUAGAAGAAUACUUAAUUCUGAAACUCAGUUGGGCUGGGGUGGUUUUUUGUGUUGUUUCUUUUUUGUUGUUGUUUUUUUUUUUUGUUUUGUUUUUGUUUUUUUUGAGUUGCCAAAAGUUAAACCAGAAGUUGCAUGGAAAGGUUUUUUUUUUUUUUUCAAUAUUAUUUAGAA